rnacentral:rRNA from 1 species
UACGUAGGGGGCAAGCGUUGUCCGGAUUUAUUGGGCGUAAAGAGCGUGUAGGCGGCCAUGCAGGUCCAUUGUGAAAACUCGAGGCUCAACCUCGAGACGCCGAUGGAAACCGCAUGGCUAGAGUCCGGAAGAGGAGAGUGGAAUUCCUGGUGUAGCGGUGAAAUGCGCAGAUAUCAGGAAGAACACCCGUGGCUAAGGCGGCUCUCUAGUACGGUACUGACGCUGAGACGCGAAAGCGUGGGGAGCGAACAGG